AGUGAACGCUGGCGGUAGGCCUAACACAUGCAAGUCGAACGGCAGCACAGUAAGAGCUUGCUCUUACGGGUGGCGAGUGGCGGACGGGUGAGGAAUACAUCGGAAUCUACUUUUUCGUGGGGGAUAACGUAGGGAAACUUACGCUAAUACCGCAUACGACCUACGGGUGAAAGCAGGGGAUCUUCGGACCUUGCGCGAUUGAAUGAGCCGAUGUCGGAUUAGCUAGUUGGCGGGGUAAAGGCCCACCAAGGCGACGAUCCGUAGCUGGUCUGAGAGGAUGAUCAGCCACACUGAAACUGAGACACGGCCCAGACUCCUACGGAGGGCAGCGGUGGGAAUAUUGGACAAUGGGCGCAAGCCUGAUCCAGCCAUACCGCGUGGGUGAAGAAGGCCUUCGGGUUGUAAAGCCCUUUUGUUGGGAAAGAAAAGCAGCAGGUUAAUACCCCGCUGUUCUGACGGUACCCAAAGAAUAAGCACCGGCUAACUUCGUG
rnacentral:rRNA from 1 species